rnacentral:rRNA from 1 species
AUAUCAAUAAGCGGAGGAAAAGAAACCAACAGGGAUUGCCUCAGUAACGGCGAGUGAAGCGGCAACAGCUCAAAUUUGAAAUCUGGCCUCUUUGGGGUCCGAGUUGUAAUUUGUAGAGGAUGUUUCGGGUACCGCCCUGGUCUAAAUUUCUUGGAACAGAAUGUCAAAGAGGGUGAGAAUCCCGUCUUGGAUCGGCGGUAGGGCCCAUGUGAAACUCCUUCGACGAGUCGAGUUGUUUGGGAAUGCAGCUCAAAAUGGGUGGUAAAUUUCAUCUAAAGCUAAAUAUUGGCCAGAGACCGAUAGCGCACAAGUAGAGUGAUCGAAAGAUGAAAAGCACUUUGAAAAGAGAGUUAAACAGUAUGUGAAAUUGUUGAAAGGGAAGCGCUUGCAACCAGACUUGCGCGCGGCGGUUCCCCCUUCCUUUUGGUUGGGUUACUCCGCCGUGUCCAGGCCAACAUCGGUUCUGGGGGUUGGUUAAAGGCUUGGGGAAUGUAUCUACCCUUCGGGCGUAGACUUAUAGCCCCAGGUGUCAUGCAACCUCCCGGGACCGAGGAACGCGCUUCGGCUCGGAUGUUGGCGUAAUGGUUGUCAGCGACCCGUCUUGAAACACGGACCAAGGAGUCUAACAUCUAUGCGAGUGUUUGGGUGUCAAACCCGGAACGCGUAAUGAAAGUGAACGGAGGUAGGAAGCUUCGGCUGCACUAUCGACCGAUCCUGAAGUCUUCGGAUGGAUUUGAGUAAGAGCAUAGCUGUUGGGACCCGAAAGAUGGUGAACUAUGCCUGAAUAGGGUGAAGCCAGAGGAAACUCUGGUGGAGGCUCGCAGCGGUUCUGACGUGCAAAUCGAUCGUCAAAUUUGGGUAUAGGGGCGAAAGACUAAUCGAACCAUCUGGUAGCUGGUUCCUGCCGAAGUUUCCCUCAGGAUAGCAGUAACGUUUUCAGUUUUAUGAGGUAAAGCGAAUGAUUAGAGGCCUUGGGGUUGAAACAACCUUAACCUAUUCUCAAACUUUAAAUAUGUAAGAAGUCCUUGUUUCUUAAUUGAACGUGGACAUUCGAAUGUAUCGUUACUAGUGGGCCAUUUUUGGUAAGCAGAACUGGCGAUGCGGGAUGAACCGAACGUGAGGUUAAGGUGCCGGAAUGUACGCUCAUCAGACACCACAAAAGGUGUCAAUGCAUCUAGACAGCCGGACGGUGGCCAUGGAAGUCGGAAUCCGCUUAGGAGUGUGUAACAACUCACCGGCCGAAUGCAUUGGCCCUGAAAAUGGAUGGCGCUUAAGCGUGCUACCUAUACCUCGCCGUCAGGGUUGACAUGAUGCCCUGACGAGUAGGCAGGCGUGGAGGUCCGUGACGAAGC